UACAGAGGGUGCAAACGUUGUUCGGAAUUACUGGGCGUAAAGCGCGUGUAGGCGGCUGUGCAAGUCGGAUGUGAAAUCCCGUGGCUCAACCACGGAAGUGCACCCGAAACUGCGCAGCUGGAGUCUCGGAGAGGAAGGUGGAAUGCUUGGUGUAGAGGUGAAAUUCGUAGAUAUCAAGCGGAACACCGGUGGCGAAAGCGGCCUUCUGGAUGAUGACUGACGCUGAGACGCGAAAGCGUGGGGAGCAAACAGG
rnacentral:rRNA from 1 species